rnacentral:rRNA from 1 species
GACGAACGCUGGCAGCGUGCUUAACACAUGCAAGUCGAACGGAAAGGCCCUGCUUUUGUGGGGUGCUCGAGUGGCGAACGGGUGAGUAACACGUGAGUAACCUGCCCUUGACUUUGGGAUAACUUCAGGAAACUGGGGCUAAUACCGGAUAGGAGCUCCUGCUGCAUGGUGGGGGUUGGAAAGUUUCGGCGGUUGGGGAUGGACUCGCGGCUUAUCAGCUUGUUGGUGGGGUAGUGGCUUACCAAGGCUUUGACGGGUAGCCGGCCUGAGAGGGUGACCGGCCACAUUGGGACCGAGAUACGGCCCAGACUCCUACGGGAGGCAGCAGUGGGGAAUAUUGCACAAUGGGCGGAAGCCUGAUGCAGCAACGCCGCGUGCGGGAUGACGGCCUUCGGGUUGUAAACCGCUUUCGCCUGUGACGAAGCGUGAGUGACGGUAAUGGGUAAAGAAGCACCGGCUAACUACGUG